GACGUAUGUAGAUCUCGGGAAUUGAGGAUAAUACUCCAUAGAUCAUGACACCUGGAAUGAGUCAUGGUUCAAAGUUCCGGCGCUUAAGGAUCGGUCUGCGGCCUAUCAGGUAGUAGUGGGUGUAAUGUACCUACUAGCCUAUGACGGGUAUGGGCCUUGAGAGAGGGAGCCCAGAGUUGGAUUCUGAGACACGAAUCCAGGCCCUACGGGGCGCAGCAGUCGCGAAAACUUCACAAUGGGCGCAAGCCCGAUGAGGGAACUCCUAGUGCUAGCACUUUUGUGUUAGCUUUUCUCAGCGUAGAUAACUGAAGGAAUAAGGGCUGGGUAAGACGGGUGCCAGCCGCCGCGGUAAUACGUGCAGCCCAAGUGGUGGUCGAUUUUAUUGAGUCUAAAACGUUCGUAGCCGGUCUGGUAAAUCCUUUGGGUAAAUCGGAAAGCUUAACUUUCCGAAUUCCGAGGAGACUGCCAGACUUGGGACCGGGAGAGGCUAGAGGUACUUCUGGGGUAGGGGUAAAAUCCUGUAAUCCUAGAAGGACCACCGGUGGCGAAGGCGUCUAGCUAGAACGGAUCCGACGGUGAGGGACGAAGCCCUGGGUCGCAAACGGGAUUAGAUACCCCGGUAGUCCAGGGUGUAAACGCUGCAGACUUGGUGUUGGAGACCCUUCGAGGGUAUUCAGUGCCGGAGAGAAGUUGUUAAGUCUGCUACUUGGGGAGUACGUCCGCAAGGAUGAAACUUAAAGGAAUUGGCGGGGGAGCACCGCAACGGGAGGAGCGUGCGGUUUAAUUGGAUUCAACACCGGAAAACUCACCAGGGGAGACUGUUACAUGAAAGCCAGGCUAAUGACCUUGCUCGAUUUUCAGAGAAGUGGUGCAUGGCCGUCGUCAGUUCGUACCGUAAGGCGUUCUCUUAAGUGAGAUAACGAACGAGACCCUCACUAAUAAUUGCUACUCCGUUCUCCGGAACGGAGGCACAUUAUUGGGACCGCUGGCGCUAAGCCAGAGGAAGGAGAGGUCAACGGUAGGUCAGUAUGCCCUGAAUCUCCUGGGCUACACGCGCGCUACAAAGGGCGGGACAAUGGGUUCCGACACCGAAAGGUGAAGGUAAUCUCGAAACCCGUCCGUAGUUCGGAUUGAGGGUUGUAACUCACCCUCAUGAAGCUGGAUUCCGUAGUAAUCGCGAAUCACACUCGCGAUCC
rnacentral:rRNA from 1 species